GCUUGCAUCAUGAUUUACAUUUGAGUGAGUGGCGAACUGGUGAGUAACACGUGGGAAACCUGCCCAGAAGCGGGGGAUAACACCUGGAAACAGAUGCUAAUACCGCAUAACAACUUGGACCGCAUGGUCCGAGCUUGAAAGAUGGCUUCGGCUAUCACUUUUGGAUGGUCCCGCGGCGUAUUAGCUAGAUGGUGGGGUAACGGCUCACCAUGGCAAUGAUACGUAGCCGACCUGAGAGGGUAAUCGGCCACAUUGGGACUGAGACACGGCCCAAACUCCUACGGGAGGCAGCAGUAGGGAAUCUUCCACAAUGGACGAAAGUCUGAUGGAGCAACGCCGCGUGAGUGAAGAAGGGUUUCGGCUCGUAAAACUCUGUUGUUAAAGAAGAACAUAUCUGAGAGUAACUGUUCAGGUAUUGACGGUAUUUAACCAGAAAGCCACGGCUAACUACGUGCCAGCAGCCGCGGUAAUACGUAGGUGGCAAGCGUUGUCCGGAUUUAUUGGGCGUAAAGCGAGCGCAGGCGGUUUUUUAAGUCUGAUGUGAAAGCCUUCGGCUCAACCGAAGAAGUGCAUCGGAAACUGGGAAACUUGAGUGCAGAAGAGGACAGUGGAACUCCAUGUGUAGCGGUGAAAUGCGUAGAUAUAUGGAAGAACACCAGUGGCGAAGGCGGCUGUCUGGUCUGUAACUGACGCUGAGGCUCGAAAGUAUGGGUAGCAAACAGGAUUAGAUACCCUGGUAGUCCAUACCGUAAACGAUGAAUGCUAAGUGUUGGAGGGUUUCCGCCCUUCAGUGCUGCAGCUAACGCAUUAAGCAUUCCGCCUGGGGAGUACGGCCGCAAGGCUGAAACUCAAAGGAAUUGACGGGGGCCCGCACAAGCGGUGGAGCAUGUGGUUUAAUUCGAAGCUACGCGAAGAACCUUACCAGGUCUUGACAUACUAUGCAAAUCUAAGAGAUUAGACGUUCCCUUCGGGGACAUGGAUACAGGUGGUGCAUGGUUGUCGUCAGCUCGUGUCGUGAGAUGUUGGGUUAAGUCCCGCAACGAGCGCAACCCUUAUUAUCAGUUGCCAGCAUUAAGUUGGGCACUCUGGUGAGACUGCCGGUGACAAACCGGAGGAAGGUGGGGAUGACGUCAAAUCAUCAUGCCCCUUAUGACCUGGGCUACACACGUGCUACAAUGGAUGGUACAACGAGUUGCGAACUCGCGAGAGUAAGCUAAUCUCUUAAAGCCAUUCUCAGUUCGGAUUGUAGGCUGCAACUCGCCUACAUGAAGUCGGAAUCGCUAGUAAUCGCGGAUCAGCAUGCCGCGGUGAAUACGUUCCCGGGCCUUGUACACACCGCCCGUCACACCAUGAGAG
rnacentral:rRNA from 2 species